rnacentral:lncRNA from 1 species
AUUUCUAAAAAUUCUCAAAUUUUACAGGAAUGAAGAUCUCAAUGAGUGGAACAAGUUUUAUACCUGUGACUAGGGCCAAUUUGGCUGAGAAAAGCCCAAAUUUAGCUCAAACCGUACGGAAACCUUAAAUUGGGUGUUCUCCAAAAUUUGUCCUCCAAUCGAACUCGAUGCUCCAAAACUUGUUUGGGCUUUGUUCCUGGGUUCUAGGGGAGUGUUUUGGUACUGUUAAUUUACUGGGUUACCUUCACAAUCAUCGCAUUUCACCAUGGCACCCAUGGAACCCAUGGGUUUCGUUCUACUCAAAUUCAAGCUCAAACCCAAUAAAAUUUGGUUGGAAAUGGAAGAGAGGAAGAUAAGGAUUUGUUUUUAGGUGGUGAUAAGGGUUAGAUAGCUGGAAAACCGACGGAAAAGUGUAGAGAAAGUGGCGGUGUGGGUGGUGCCCGACGAGUUACACAGACUAACCCGUGUUUCCCCCACUUUCUUGUCUCCUUUCCCCUCCCUUCUUCUGUUUCUGAUUGGCCAUUCUCUUCAUCUCUCCUCCUCAUUGGUUGCUCAUUCCCUCAUUCCUCUUCCAUGAUUAGGCAGUUCUGCCC